CUACGGGUGGCUGCAGUGGGGAAUAUUGGACAAUGGGGGAAACCCUGAUGCAGCAACGCCGCGUGGAGGAUGACGCAUUUCGGUGUGUAAACUCCUUUUAUAUGUCAAGAAAAUGACGGUAGCAUAUGAAUAAGCACCGGCUAACUCCGUGCCAGCAGCCGCGGUAAUACGGAGGGUGCAAGCGUUACUCGGAAUCACUGGGCGUAAAGGACGCGUAGGCGGGUUGGAAAGUCAGGUGUGAAAUCCUACAGCUUAACUGUAGAACUGCACUUGAAACUUCUAAUCUAGAGUAUGGGAGGGGGAGAUGGAAUUAGUGGUGUAGGGGUAAAAUCCGUAGAUAUCACUAGGAAUACCUAAAGCGAAGGCGAUCUUCUGGAACAUUACUGACGCUAAGGCGUGAAAGCGUGGGGAGCAAACAGGAUUAGAUACCCUAGUAGUC
rnacentral:rRNA from 1 species